GCCUUCACUGUAUCAAUCAAACCUGAAUCCAGCCAUGUUCCAAUGUGUCAUAGAUACCCUGGUUUGAAUGGGAUAUAAUGAAACCGGUAUGGUUUUUUCCUUUCUUUUUUUUUUUUUUUCUCUGCUAACUAAUAUUAUUGCCCAAU
rnacentral:lncRNA from 1 species